rnacentral:rRNA from 1 species
UACGUAGGGUGCGAGCGUUAAUCGGAAUUACUGGGCGUAAAGCGUGCGCAGGCGGUUCGCUAAGACCGAUGUGAAAUCCCCGGGCUUAACCUGGGAACUGCAUUGGUGACUGGCGGGCUAGAGUAUGGCAGAGGGGGGUAGAAUUCCACGUGUAGCAGUGAAAUGCGUAGAGAUGUGGAGGAAUACCGAUGGCGAAGGCAGCCCCCUGGGCCAAUACUGACGCUCAGGUACGAAAGCGUGGGGAGCAAACAGG